rnacentral:misc_RNA from 1 species
GAUGAAGAACGUAGCGAAAUGCGAUAAGUAGUGUGAAUUGCAGAAUUCAGUGAAUCAUCGAAUCUUUGAACGCACAUUGCGCCCCUCGGUAUUCCGUGGGGCAUGCCUGUUCGAGCGUCAUUGCUGCCCUCAAGCACGGCUUGUGUGUUGGGCCUCCGUCCUCCUCCCGGGGGACGGGCCCGAAAGGCAGCGGCGGCACCGCGUCCGGUCCUCGAGCGUAUGGGGCUUCGUCACCCGCUCUUGUAGGCCCGGCCGGCGCUUGCCGACACAUCAAUCUUUUUUCCAGGUUGACCUCGGAUCAGGUAGGGAUACCCGCUGAACUUAAGCAUAUCAAUAAGCGGAGGA